ACAAACAUAAAUAUACAGUCAUUUAAAGUGUAACAUCAAGGAGGAGCUCCACACCAACACAGACCAUCACAUCAACUUUACAUGAAGACUGGAACCAUCUGGACUCUUGUAGACCUGAAACCUCAUGUUGGUCUGUGGACAGAAGACAACCUUCUGAAGGACAACAAAGCUGCAGAAACCAGGUGUGCAUGGCACAGAGUCAGCAGGAGAACCAGGAACACCUGAGAAAAAAGGACAGAAGGACUGAGGUCUGCCAGAGUUCUCCCAGGAACAACAAUGACUUCUGUUUAAUGAGCUAAUCUGUCAGGAUUACAGAGACCUGCAGAGCCUGAUAACCUGCAGGAACGGUGUGAACGGUCCAGUGUCAUGUUUACUGUCCUGUCCUCCAGCACACUGAUGCCUUCAGGGACUUCUUACCACCUGGGAAAACAGAGCUCUGAGCUGUGCUUCUGCUCAGUUUGUAUUAGAAUCAGGAAAAUAUCUGAGAGACAAACACACAGAAAUAAAAUCUAACAGAUAUUCUCUGACUUUUAUUUCCCUAAAGUACACAAAGAUGUGUGAUGUUUUUAUUUCUUUAGCUUGCUUUGAUUUGUUCUCUCGACCUGGACCAGACGGGUCAGGAUCGCAGCAGAGAAACUGUUUAUUAGUUUAUUUAUGUUCUGUAAACAUCUUGUCUGCAGCUUGAAUAUUUAUUUAUUAAAAUUAGAUUUUUUUCUGUUUUUCUUCUUUUAAUAAGUAAACAAACUCAGUAAAUUCUGGUUGUUUUUGUGAUAAAUAAGAUUUUUAUGAACUGGCAAUAAAAGUUGUUCAUUUUUA